AAAGGUGAAAAGCACCCGACGAGGGAGUGAAAAAGACCUGAAACCGAAUGCCUACAAGCAGUCGGAGCGACCGAUGUCCGCAAGGACGGGUGUCGUGACGGCGUACCUUUUGUAUAAUGGGUCAGCGAGUUUCUGUUCGCGGCAAGCUUAAGCCGAUAGGUGGAGGCGCAGCGAAAGCGAGUCUGAACAGGGCGUUCAGUCGCGGGCAGAAGACCCGAAACCGAGUGAUCUAGCCAUGGCCAGGCUGAAGGUGGGGUAACACCCACUGGAGGGCCGAACCCACGCCUGUUGAAAAAGUCGGGGAUGAGCUGUGGCUAGGGGUGAAAGGCCAAUCAAACUCGGAGAUAGCUGGUUCUCCGCGAAAUCUAUUUAGGUAGAUCGUCGUGUGUUUACCCUCGGGGGUAGAGCACUGGAUGGGCUAGGGGGCCCCAAAGGCUUACCAAACCUAACCAAACUCCGAAUACCGAGGCGUAUAGCGCGGCAGACAGUCCGUGGGUGCUAAGGUCCAUGGAC
rnacentral:rRNA from 1 species